rnacentral:rRNA from 1 species
UACAGAGGUCUCAAGCGCUGUUCGGAUUCAUUGGGCGUAAAGGGUGCGUAGGUGGCGCUGUAAGUCGGGUGUGAAAUUUCGGAGCUUAACUCCGAAACUGCAUUCGAUACUGCGGUGCUUGAGGACUGGAGAGGAGACUGGAAUUCAUGGUGUAGCAGUGAAAUGCGUAGAGAUCAUGAGGAAGACCAGUGGCGAAGGCGGGUCUCUGGACAGUUCCUGACGCUGAGGCACGAAGGUCAGGGGAGCAAACGGG